CCUACGGGGGGCAGCAGUGGGGAAUCUUCCGCAAUGGGCGAAAGCCUGACGGAGCAACGCCGCGUGAUCGAAUGAAGGCCUUCGGGUUGUAAAGAUCUGUUGACCGGGACGAAUAAGCUCUGCAAAUAGUUUUGUGUAUGACGGUACCUGUUUAGAAAGCUCCGGCUAACUACGUGCCAGCCGCCGCGGUAAUACGUAGGGAGCAAGGGUUGUCUGGAAUUACUGGGCGUAAAGGGCGCGUAGGGGGGCGCUUAAGUAAGGUGUGAAAACUCCGGGCUCAACCUGGAGACUGCACUUGAAACUGGGUGUCUUGAGGUCAGGACAGGAAAGUGGAAUUCCUAGUGUA
rnacentral:rRNA from 1 species